UGGGGAAUAUUGCACAAUGGGCGCAAGCCUGAUGCAGCCAUGCCGCGUGUGUGAAGAAGGCCUUCGGGUUGUAAAGCACUUUCAGCGGGGAGGAAGGCGAUAAGGUUAAUAACCUCAUCGAUUGACGUUACCCGCAGAAGAAGCACCGGCUAACUCCGUGCCAGCAGCCGCGGUAAUACGGAGGGUGCAAGCGUUAAUCGGAAUUACUGGGCGUAUAGCGCACGCAGGCGGUUGAUUGAGUCAGAUGUGAAAUCCCCGGGCUUAACCCGGGAAUUGCAUCUGAUACUGGUCAGCUAGAGUCUUGUAGAGGGGGGUAGAAUUCCAGGUGUAGCGGUGAAAUGCGUAGAGAUGUGGAGGAAUACCGGUGGCGAAGGCGGCCCCCUGGACAAAGAAUGACGCUCAGGUGCGAAAGCGUGGGGAGCAAACAGG
rnacentral:rRNA from 1 species